rnacentral:lncRNA from 1 species
GUCCCUUGGUCUGUCUGUUUCUCCUUCUCUCUCUCUCUUGCUUUCUCUCUCUGAUAGGGAUGAGUGUGGAGCUGCUGGCAAUGCUGGUGGCCUCUGUGAUUCAGGGUCGGUUGUGGCUGUAUUCUGCACAGAGAAGGCUGGGGCAUGUCAGCAGUUGGACCAGAGCCAGGAGCUGCCUCACAACACCCCUUCACCACAAACCGGUACUACAGACCAUGAUGUCUUUGGGGAACUUUGCACUGUUCUGUACCCAUGCAGCUGGGCUUGGGUCCCAGUUCCAGCACCUUCUGUCUCUGCUGGUAAGACAUUGCUUGUUGCUACACACAGUUCUGUCAACGUCACACGUAGUUGUAUCACACACCCCACACCCUCUUGGCCACAAAAGGACGGUCUGAUUGGCUCAACACACAGAUGACAGAACACAAUUCUUAUCCAAUCUGGCAUAUCAUACUCUUUAUGAUUUGAUAUAUUUAUGUGUAGCUGGUAUUCGUCUCUGCAAGCUAACCCCUUAUUCCUUAUUAAAGGGCAAACACUAUAGCCACAAGACAUUCUCUUGUUAGUGUUUAAUAUCUGGGAUGGUUGUUUGUUUGUCCUAACAGAUUGCAGCAUCUAUAGCUGCUUCACUGUUACAGGCAUGGGCUUGAAAAUAGAUUACAAUCUUCAUUGGUCUGUGAGCACAACAUUGUUUCUCCCUUUAUGACAAGUUUAUUCUUACAGUAAUAAUAGUCUUUACUUACUGUGUGUGUGAUGUUUUUUUCUUCGUAUUUACUGCCAGUCUUCGUGGCCGUGUGUGUGAUGCUAGGAUUCAGCUUGGCAACCGUGUUCCUGCUGCCUUGGUCCAUGCUCCCGGACGUGGUAGAUGACAUAGCUGUGGAAAAACCCCUGCUGCAAGGACCUUGAGCAACAGUUUCUUUCUACUGCUAUGCCUUCUGCAGGCUGGUCUUCUUCCACCUGUACCCCAUCAACGAGGAACAACGCCUCCAGCUCCAGAGAGAGCAAGGCAGAGAGGUUGAAGACAUACAUUCAACUGAUAGGAGAGAUAGGAUCAACACGCAGUCGUCAGUCAAGACGCCAACCACAUUUUAAUUUAUUUUUAUUUUAUUUAGCCUUUACUUAUCUAGGCAAGUCAGUUAAGAACAAAUUCUUAUUCGCAAUGCAGGCCAAACCCGGAUAACGCUGGGCCAAUUGUGUGCCGCCCUAUGGGACUCCCAAUCACGGCCGGAUGUGAUACAGACUGGAUUCGAACCAGGGACUGAAGGGACUGUAAAAUAUAUUUUGAUUUUGGUUACUACAUGAUUCCAUAUGUGUUAUUUCAUAGUUUUGAUGUCUUCACUAUUAUUCUACAAUGUAGAAAAUAGUACAAAUAAAGAAAAACCCUUGAAU